rnacentral:misc_RNA from 1 species
GAUGAAGAACGCAGCGAAAUGCGAUACGUAAUGUGAAUUGCAGAAUUCAGUGAAUCAUCGAGUCUUUGAACGCACAUUGCGCCCCCUGGUAUUCCGGGGGGCAUGCCUGUCCGAGCGUCAUUGCUGCCCUCAAGCACGGCUUGUGUGUUGGGCCUCCGUCCUCCUCCCGGGGGACGGGCCCGAAAGGCAGCGGCGGCACCGCGUCUGGUCCUCGAGCGUAUGGGGCUUCGUCACCCGCUCUUGUAGGCCCGGCCGGCGCUUGCCGACACAUCAAUCUUUUUUCCAGGUUGACCUCGGAUCAGGUAGGGAUACCCGCUGAACUUAAGCAUAUCAAUAAGCGGAGGA